ensembl:ncRNA C05A2.2 ncRNA
UUGUGCCCCCUUUCACCAACAGAAGAACAAAUAUCUGCGUCUCACUGAUCAAUGCACUAUUUCGAAGCUCAAGUAGUUGGUUCGAACCGACUGGAUCAUAUGAUAGAUACUAGCAAUGAGGAGGGAAGAUAGUU